UGCAGAUUUCUGCCUGUCAUGGCAUUAACAUGAAAUAAGAAACGAUGAUAUAUGGGUUCCCUCUACUUGCAUGAAAGAAAAUAAUUGAAACCAACUGAUUCUUGGACACAGGGCCUGGAAUAAAGAUGGAGAAGGUAAAGCUACACUGUGUGUCUGUGUUUGCUUCAACUGAUACGGGAACGGGAUGACAGAGGCAGUCAGGUCGCUUGUCUUCAUUAGCUGGAGAAAAUGGACAAAAUAAGGGCGUGGAGCACCAAGAUGGGCAGUGCUCUUCACCUCACCUGAAGAAGGGAUCUUUUACCUUGUGGGAGAGGAUAGGGACCGCACAUGUGGUGAUAUUGAGUCAUCUGUGCCCCCAGCAACUCUGUCUCUCCUACUGAAGGCACCCAAGGCUGACAGGCAGCAUCCAUUGCAAGACAAACAUCUCUUGAUUGGAUGUUGUAAAGACUGAUCUUUUUAGUUUACUAUAUUUUUGAUUGUGGACUAAAUUGGAACAGGGACCGAGAAGGAAGUGGUGCAUUUUUGAAAACAAAUUAUUGGAACUCAACUCCGAAUGCUGGUUGGUUUGUGCAAUUGUGAUCACUGUAAAUGACAGUGGUUAUCAGCCUGAAAACAACCCUUUGAUUUGUUUCUGGGCAACUGAACAGUGUGUGUGUGAGAAAACUGCAGAGAUAGAAAGUCUUCAGACUGAAAGAAUCAAGCAGAGGUGGUGUCAGUCACUGAAGAAGGGGAUGUGGCUGUGAAAACACAUUUGACAAACACUUUAUCAAACACUAAAGGGGAGAUUGAUAGCAAUGAAGGGGAACAAGCCAAAAGAUUAAAGCAGAAAUCCCGUCAGAGAGAAGAGCAGGGUGGACACACCUGGAAGAAAGCACUCAAAGUAAAAGCAAAAUAGUGUGCACGCAGGAGAUCUGAAACCAACACAAAGAAUUCAGGAGAAACUCAGCAGAUCUCUGUGGAAAGAGAACAACAGAAUUAACGUUUUGAGGCCAAUAUGACUCUUCCUCAGAAGAUUGGUGUUAACCUGAUUCCAUUGUACAGAUAAAUAGAGGACUUUGCGUACUUUGAUUCACUCAUUAACUUCUGCGGUGACCCCAAUGGGAGAGGAGCUUGAGAAUCAUUGGACUCUCACAAGUGAGUUGAAACAGAACCGAAUCUAUAACACACAGAAAAUUCACCUUCUGCUGGUGUGGGAAAGUCAGAUGUGGGAAAAGCCACAAUCGCAACUUCACUGUCCACUUUGUAUCAAUUUUGGAAAAUUCUGGUUCCAGAGUCUAUAAUUUGGAAUGAAAUUCAUAAACACUUAAAAGUAACUUCCAUUAAUCUGAGCAGUCAAAAUGGUUUGCAUAAACAGUUCAUAUUGGAUCAAUACUAUAGAAUCUUUUGAAUAAAUAAUAAAGAGGACAAAAGGAAGAAAGAUAAUAAACAUACUUUAUAUCACUUUGCAAAAAAAUUGGUGAUGAGAAAUUGUGAAUGAGGUAAUGACAAUGUCACACAUGCUUGCAUCAUUUGUUGUGUGUGAGUUCUGGGAUCUAUUACUUGUGCCAAGAGUAGUCUGCUGGGGAUGUCAAAUCUGAUGUUAGUCAGAGUGUUGGGACAAUGUGGGUGUUGGGUAUCAUGUCUGAGAGUUAAGGGUGGGUGUUGCCAGGUCUGGAGAUGUCAUGGGUUGGUGGGAUGUAGUGGUAAGUCAGGUACUUAGUUUAUUAGUUAUUGAGGAGUUAGAGCUGUUUUUACUUGUGUAACAAUUAAAUUAAAAUGAAUGGAAUUCUCCAAGAUCUCUGACUUCAUGGGAAACUGACUUUUUGGAGGUUUCCAGAUGCAGGGUGGCUGAGCAUUUUCCAAGGAGUCAACUGCAUUAUGAUGUCAGUCUAUCCCAACAUGCAACCCCAAUCUAUGCUGCUAUGAUCACUAGCAGGCCAGCAGAAUAGUAUUGGGACUAUACAGGAUUAGAAAACCAUAUUUGUGAUAUUACAGCUAAUGAGACCAUACCUUACGGUUCAUUGUAUUGAUACUGAUGGUUGACAAAAUAGUUACUGGAACAAUGAAGUCUAAGUGUCUGGUCUUGAAACAUUCAUAAUUGUUAUGAGGAAGGAGUUCUACCUCACGGAGAAUCAAGGUUGAUAGCAGAAAUCCCAAUUUAGGUCUUAUAUGUAUAUGGGGAACAUUAAUAUCCAGUUAACGUAGGGAAGAACACCCCUGGAUUAGGCCAAAUAGACCACAAUUGCCUUGUUUAGGUCUGAUCAUUCCUGCAUUGCUAAUGCAAGCAAGAAGUGUGUAACCAGGACGACAGCAGAUCCAUUGGUGGAGGCGAGUUGUCGCCGAAGAGUGGUGAUUUCCGUUCCAGCAGCAGUGGUGCAGAGAAUGAGACUCAUGCCUGGCCACCAGACUCAUAGCCCAUGAUGGAGCACUUAACAGGAAAGACAGUAAAGUUGGACACUUCUUAAUUUUUCUGGCGUUAUAUUCUAUGUUUUGGUUUGGCUUUUCUCUGUUUAGGAUGGAGCUGGAGAGCGGCGACAC